rnacentral:rRNA from 1 species
GACGAACGCUGGCGGCGUGCUUAACACAUGCAAGUCGAACGGAAAGGCCCUGCUUUUGUGGGGUGCUCGAGUGGCGAACGGGUGAGUAACACGUGAGUAACCUGCCCUUGACUUUGGGAUAACUUCAGGAAACUGGGGCUAAUACCGGAUAGGAGCUCCUGCUGCAUGGUGGGGGUUGGAAAGUUUCGGCGGUUGGGGAUGGACUCGCGGCUUAUCAGCUUGUUGGUGGGGUAGUGGCUUACCAAGGCUUUGACGGGUAGCCGGCCUGAGAGGGUGACCGGCCACAUUGGGAAUGAGAUAAGGCCCAGACUCCUACGGGAGGCAGCAGUGGGGAAUAUUGCACAAUGGGCGGAAGCCUGAUGCAGCAACGCCGCGUGCGGGAUGACGGCCUUCGGGUUGUAAACCGCUUUCGCCUGUGACGAAGCGUGAGUGACGGUAAUGGGUAAAGAAGCACCGGCUAACUACGUG